UACGAAGGGGGCAAGCGUUGUUCGGAAUUACUGGGCGUAAAGGGCGCGUAGGCGGCUUAUCAAGUCAGGCGCGAAAUUCCCGGGCUCAACCUGGGGGCUGCGCUUGAUACUGAUUGGCUUGAAUGCGGGAGAGGAUAGUGGAAUUCCCAGUGUAGAGGUGAAAUUCGUAGAUAUUGGGAAGAACACCGGUGGCGAAGGCGGCUAUCUGGCCCGUAAUUGACGCUGAGGCGCGAAAGCGUGGGGAGCAAACAGG
rnacentral:rRNA from 1 species